rnacentral:rRNA from 1 species
UACGAAGGGGGCUAGCGUUGCUCGGAAUCACUGGGCGUAAAGGGUGCGUAGGCGGGUCUUUAAGUCAGGGGUGAAAUCCUGGAGCUCAACUCCAGAACUGCCUUUGAUACUGAGGAUCUUGAGUCCGGGAGAGGUGAGUGGAACUGCGAGUGUAGAGGUGAAAUUCGUAGAUAUUCGCAAGAACACCAGUGGCGAAGGCGGCUCACUGGCCCGAUACUGACGCUGAGACGCGAAAGCGUGGGGAGCGAACAGG